CGUCAAGUCAUCAUGGCCCUUACGUCUGGGGCUACACACGUACUACAAUGGCGCGUACAAAGGGCAGCGAUGCCGCGAGGUGGAGCCAAUCCCAAAAAACGCGUCCCAGUCCGGAUUGCAGUCUGCAACUCGACUGCAUGAAGUUGGAAUCGCUAGUAAUUCCGGAUCAGCAUGCCGGGGUGAAUGCGUUCCCGGGCCUU
rnacentral:rRNA from 1 species